GGUUGACCUCGGAUCAGGUAGGGAUACCCGCUGAACUUAAGCAUAUCAAUAAGCGGAGGAAAAGAAACCAACAGGGA
rnacentral:rRNA from 3 species